GCCGGAUUAGCUCAGCUGGUAGAGCAGCUGACUUGUAAUCAGCAGGUCGGGGGUUCGAUUCCGUCAUCCGGCU
rnacentral:tRNA from 1 species